UGCAAAUAGUGACCAAAAGAAACAUGAUGUUUCUUUAUAUGGUAAAUCAGCUAAAUGUCAAAAAUUUUUUACAAAUAUUUAAGGAUGUAUGUGUAUGUAUGUGUGUGUGUGUGUGUGUGUGUGUAUACAUGCCAACUCAUCUAUAAGAUGCAA
rnacentral:sRNA from 1 species